AUGGAGGCGACGUCGCUGAGCGUUGGAAGGUCCGUGCUAAAUGGAGCGCUUAGCUACGCCAAAUCAGCGGUGGCGGAGGAGUUGGCUCUGCAGCUAGGCGUGGGGCGCGACCAGGCCUUCAUCACCGGGGAGCUGGAGAUGAUGCAAUCUUUCCUCGUGAUGGCGCACGACGAGGGAGACGACAAUAACCAGGUGGUGAAGACCUGGGUGAAUCAGGUCCGCGACGUGGCCUACAUCGUCGAGGACUGUCUCCAGGAUUUCGCCAUUCGUGUUGACAGGCAACCAUGGUGGCGCACCCUGAUACACCGGCACAAUGUGGCAAAUCAGAUGAAAGAGCUCAGGGCCCAAGUGGACGAUGUCAGCCAGAGGAACAUACGCUACCAGCUCAUCAAGGGCCCCUCAGAUGCUGCUUCUUCUUCCUCCUCCAAGCAGCCAGCAGCUGACAAAUCAUCAACGGCGUUAGUGUUUGGCAUCCAUGGUGCCGCGGAGCAGCACAAUCAAUCAAACAUGGAUCUUUCCGAGCUCCUCAUGGCCAGCUGCAAGGAUGAAAACUGUGUCCUUGCGCUUGGGGUGAUUGCCGUGUGGGGAACAAGUGCUGAUCUCGGGCAGACAUCCAUCAUCAGUGAAGUCUACGAGAAUCAAGAUGUCACAACCAAAUUUCCAUGCAGAGCUUGGGUUAGGCUGACACAUCCUUUUGAUCCAAAGGACUUCAUCCAAAGCUUAGUGGAGCAGUUUCAUCAUAGCACAUCAGUUGCUGCUAUGUUGGAAAUGGACCAGAAGGCGCCGCAACAACUAGCUCAGGAGUUUGAUGGGUAUGUGAACAAGAAGAGGUAUCUGAUAGUAAUCAAUGACCUAUCCACCAUUGAGGAGUGGCAUCGGGUCAAAAGGUGCUUCCCAGACAACAACAUGGGGUGCAGAAUCAUAGUGUCCACGCAACAAGCUGAAGUUGCGACCUUAUGUGCAGGGCAAGGAUACAACAUAUCAAAGCUCAAGCAAUUGUCAGCUCACCAGAAUAUCUAUGCUUUCCACAACAUGCGCUCAGAACAUGAAACAUCAGAUUUAACUGGGACAAGUUCAUGCUCAAAAGGAGACACUAUCAAUAGUACUGACAACUCAGCAGUGCCUAAUGGUGAGAUAACUGAGGAUUUAUCUGCAGACGGUGUUGAUGGAAAGAGCCUCACUUGGAACAGCAUAAUGGAAUCUCGUAUUGUGGGGCGAGCUCAAGAGAAAGAAGAUAUUAUUAUUAAACUAAUACCUCAAGAAGCCACUAAGAAGUUUCAGGUGAUCUCCAUUUGGGGAAUGGGUGGCCUUGGGAAAACCACUCUAGUGGAAGAUGUGUAUCAAAGCAAAGAACUCAGUGACAAGUUUGACAAGCGCGCUUGUGCCACAAUUUUGCGUCCUUUCAGUCUUGUAGAGCUCCUUAGAAGCUUAUUUGUGCAACUUGACACGGAAACUUCUGAGAAGAAGGCUGCCGUGGGUUUACCUGCAGGCCAAAGGAAGAAAUUACCAUCAUCAAUGACAAUUGCUGAGUUGGUCAAGGAGUUAGCAAUACUGGUAGAAAAAAAGAGAUGCCUUAUUGUUCUUGAUGAUGUAUCAUCUACUGCAGAAUGGGAUCAGCUAAUACAACUAGAUAGUUUCCUUAUGAUGGAAAAUACAAGCCGAAUCAUAGUCACCACAAGGGAGAAGAGUAUUGCUUUACAUUGUUCAGAGAAGAGACAAGAAAAUGUGUACAAGCUCAAUGAUCUAGGGUACAAGUAUGCACGUGAGCUAUUCAUUAAAAAGGUAUUUAAAAAGAUUGUAGAUUUGGACAAGCAAUAUCCACAGCUAGUUGAACCAACCGAACUGAUUCUGAAGAAGUGUGGCCAACUACCCCUUGCAAUAGUCACCAUAGGUGGCUUCUUGGCAGACCAGCCAAAAACUUUCAUUGAGUGGAGGAAAUUUUAUGAUCACAUCAGUGCUGAGAUGGAAAUGAAUCCAGAGCUUACAACCAUAAGAACCGUCCUUAUGAAAAGCUAUGAUGGUCUACCCUACCACCUCAAGUCUUGUUUCUUGUAUACAUCCAUCUUUUCUGAAGACCGUAAGCUUGACCGGAGACGCUUGGUGCUUCGGUGGACUGCAGAGGGGUACUCAAGGGAGGUGCGUGAUAAGUCAGCGGAGGAAGUGUCAGAUGGCUACUUCAUGGAACUUAUAGGCAGGAGCAUGAUACUGCCAUCUCAAAAAUCAUUUCAUAGUAUAAAAGGAAUUGAUUCCUGCCAAGUCCAUGACCUCAUUCGUGAAAUAAGCAUCUCAAAAUCUACGGAAGAAAACCUUGUUUUGAGACUAGAGAAAGGUUGUAAGCUGAAUAGCCAGCAGGGCAAUGCACGCCAUCUUGCUAUAAAUGGCAAUUGGGAAGGAGAGCAGAGUGAUUUUGAGAGGAUGGUGGACAUGCCCCGUGUACGGUCAGUAACAGUUUUUGGGAAGUGGAGGCCAUUCUUCAUGUCGGUGAAGAUGAGGAUGCUACGAGUUCUGGACUUGGAAGACACGACAGGUCUUGUCGAUCAUCAUUUGAAGCAUAUUGGGAAGCUUCUUCACCUAAUAUACUUAUCUCUGAGAGGAUGUGAAGAUAUUUAUCACCUGCCAGAUUCAAUUGGUAACCUGAUGCAACUGCAAACACUUGAUAUCAGAGGUACCUCCAUAGUGAUACUGCCGAGAAGCAUCGUCAAGCUUCGGAAGCUGCAAUAUCUUCGUUCCAGCAACCAGCUUACAUGGUGUCUUGGACCGAUAAGCAACUCUGAUUCACAUCCUUAUUUGAAGACAUGCGUGGGUUUUUGUAUUGGAUGUUGCAUACCUCGGGAAGUAAUACAAACAGAUGGCUGCAACAGGCGUGAUGUAUGCACCUUCACAUGGUGCGCGGCAAUCCCUUUUCUGGUGGGAGGGCAUGGCAAUGAUGUUGGCGUGAGGGUGCCAAGAGGGAUGAGGAGAAUGAAGGCCCUGCAUACAUUACAGGGUGUGGACCUGGUCGCGUCCGGAGGCAUUGCUUUUCUGCGGAACAUCAAAGGAGGACUCAUGGGCCUGCGUAAGCUAGGAGUGGUCCGCCUACAAGAGAAGCAUGCUUCAGAGUUUUGUGCUGUCGUUUCCAGUCUCAACCUCCUAGAGUCAUUGUCAGUGACUUCAGAGCGUGGACACGAUUUGCUUCUGGGUGGCAUUUCCUCGCCUCCAACUAACCUUCGGAACCUCAAGCUGGUAGUUAGAAGGUACUCCAUGGAAAGCAUGGCCAAAUUGCCGAAAUGGGUCAAGAAGCUUGAGAACCUUGUAAAGUUGAGGAUCGAAUUCGCAACAUCUGGCCAAGAGGAGCAGGAUGCUGCUAUAGGAGCCCUGGGGAAUCUACCAAGCCUAGCAGUUCUGCGUCUGAAGGUGUUUGCUUUCAAUGGUGAAAAACUACAUUUUGGGGCGGAGGAAUUCCGGAGCAUCGUCGUGCUGGAGCUUGAAUUCACAGAGAACACAAGGUUGGUUGAGUUUGAGGAGGGAGCAAUGCCCAAACUCCAGCAGCUUCUCCUCCAUUGUCCGGAUAUCAGGACUGAGUUUCUUGGAGUGGACUCUCUCGGAAGCAUCAAGGAAGUAGGGAUCACCGAGCAUCUUAUCACCGAGGAGUUGCGGGCCCAGGUCGCAUUGAAUAGAAACAAGCCAAUCCUGAAUAAAUUAUAA
rnacentral:rRNA from 1 species